GCACUGCUGAGGAGUCCCGAACAGGACGAAACAGUUGUCCAGUGC
rnacentral:hammerhead_ribozyme from 1 species